GAUGAACGCUGGCGGCGUGCCUAAUACAUGCAGGUCGAGCGAACAGAUGAGGAGCUUGCUCCUCUGACGUUAGCGGCGGACGGGUGAGUAACACGUGGAUAACCUACCUAUAAGACUGGGAUAACUUCGGGAAACCGGAGCUAAUACCGGAUAAUAUAUUGAACCGCAUGGUUCAAUAGUGAAAGACGGUUUUGCUGUCACUUAUAGAUGGAUCCGCGCCGCAUUAGCUAGUUGGUAAGGUAACGGCUUACCAAGGCAACGAUGCGUAGCCGACCUGAGAGGGUGAUCGGCCACACUGGAACUGAGACACGGUCCAGACUCCUACGGGAGGCAGCAGUAGGGAAUCUUCCGCAAAGGGCGAAAGCCUGACGGAGCAACGCCGCGUGAGUGAUGAAGGUCUUCGGAUCGUAAAACUCUGUUAUUGGGGAAGAACAAAUGUGUAAGUAACUAUGCACGUCUUGACGGUACCUAAUCAGAAAGCCACGGCUAACUACGUG
rnacentral:rRNA from 1 species